GUGCCAAACAGGGCCAUAAAUACCAGGGUUUAUCUGUUAAUUCUAGGGACUUAAGUGUGAAGCCUUACCACAACUUUCUGUCACGAGAGGCCAAGAGGGGCUGCCAAUCGAUCUCGACUUGCAGUACGGCGGUCCUCUCUACCAAGUUGCGGAGGUUCUGGUACAUCACCUUCGCCUCUGGCUCAUCUGGCUCCGGGAUAGAUGGGAGCAUCAUGGCUGCUGCGACCAUGUUCUGCUCGGGACUGAGGAAAUAUUUCACGCCAUCGCUGCUUUCAAUGAGUAGGUCGUGCACCUUUCUUGGUCAGGG
rnacentral:misc_RNA from 1 species